rnacentral:rRNA from 1 species
UACGUAGGCAGCAAGCGUUGUUCGGAAUUACUGGGCGUAAAGAGUGUGUAGGCGGUGUUCUAAGUCUGUCGUGAAAUCUCCCGGCUUAACUGGGAGGGUGCGGCGGAAACUGGGAAUGCUAGAGGGUGGGAGAGGAAAGCGGAAUUCCUGGUGUAGCGGUGAAAUGCGCAGAUAUCAGGAGGAACACCAAUUGCGAAAGGCAGCACUCUGGGACGGUACUGACGCUGAGACGGCGAAAGCGUGGGGAGCAAACAGG